rnacentral:rRNA from 1 species
GUGCCAGCCGCCGCGGUAAUACGAAGGGGGCUAGCGUUGCUCGGAUUUACUGGGCGUAAAGGGCGCGUAGGCGGACAGUUAAGUUGGGGGUGAAAGCCCGGGGCUCAACCUCGGAAUUGCCUUCAAUACUGGCUGUCUUGAGUGUGAGAGAGGUGUGUGGAACUCCGAGUGUAGAGGUGAAAUUCGUAGAUAUUCGGAAGAACACCAGUGGCGAAGGCGACACACUGGCUCACUACUGACGCUGAGGCGCGAAAGCGUGGGGAGCAAACAGGAUUAGAUACCCCUGUAGUCC